rnacentral:SRP_RNA from 1 species
GCGGCGUCCCAGCAACUCGGGAUGCUGAGGUGGGAGGAUCGUUUGAGCCCAGGAGUUCUGGGCUGUAGUGCGAUAUGCCAAUUGGGUGUCCGAAGUAAGUUCAGCAUCAAUAUAGUGACCUCCUGGGAGCGGGGGACCACCAGGUUGCCUAAGGAGGGGUGAACGGGCCCAGGUCGGAAACAGAGCAGGUCAAAACUCCGGUGCUGAUCAGUAGUGGGAUCAGGCCUGUGAACAGCCACAACACAGAGAGACCCUGUUUCU